rnacentral:rRNA from 1 species
CCUACGGGUGGCAGCAGUGAGGAAUAUUGGUCAAUGGGCGCGAGCCUGAACCAGCCAAGUAGCGUGAAGGAUGACUGCCCUACGGGUUGUAAACUUCUUUUAUAAAGGAAUAAACUGAGGCACGUGUGCCUUUUUGUAUGUACUUUACGAAUAAGGAUCGGCUAACUCCGUGCCAGCAGCCGCGGUAAUACGGAGGGUACGAUCGUUACCCGGAUUUAUUGGGUUUAAAGGGAGCGUAGAUGGGUUGUUAAGUCAGUUGUGAAAGUUUGCGACUCAACCGUAAAAUUGCAAUUGAUACUGGCAGCCUAGAGUACAGUUGAGGUAGGCGGAAUUCGUGGUGUAGCGGUGAAAUGCUUAGAGAUCACGAAGAACUCCGAUGGCGAAGGCAGCUUACUAAACUGCCACUGACAUUGAUGUUCGAAAGUGUGGGUAGCAAACAGGAUUAGAUACCCCAGUAGUC